rnacentral:ncRNA from 1 species
ACACUUACUGUGAAAGAGAAAGUAGAUAUAUGAUUUUUAUCAGAGAAAAAAAGUCAGGGCUGAAAGCUUUUUUUAAAACAUUAUAUAUUGAAGUUCCUCCUGGAGUACUGGCUGUGAAAUUAUAAUUAGUAGUCAGCGGUUAAUUAUCGUUAAAAUAUACAAAGAGGAUAUUAUUUCUAAUAGUAUCAAUUUGGGUGGUAACGCGGAUCAAAGUUCGUCCCUUAG